AGAUGAUAGAAGAUGCCUAAAUACUGGAUUCUAUUCGCGAUUGUUAUAUGCAUUAUAAAGUCAUCAAGUGCAUUUGAAAUCAAAGGACUUCAGAAUGACCUUCUGCUAGUGGAAAAUUUCUUUCAAAAGCUAACUAAUGACCAUGGAUCAAUACUACCUGGUCAAGAUUCAACUAAGGCUUUCGAUGCAAAAAUAGCCAAGUUUCUUCAGAUGACGCAGAGACCGUUAGGCUGGCGCCACAGGAGACAUCUUGAUGGCCAUGUGGCACGUUUAAACAAUGGGAUUGGAGUGUUGAAAGGAUUUUCUGGUAUCUUUGAAGACCCAUUUCCAAAUUCAUUGGCCAUAUCAAUCUUUGCUUAUUAUAAUGGUAACGAACUACAAUGGUUUACAGUUACUCUUGACGCUUCAUUAAUAUCCCUAUAUCGGUACAAUGGAAACCAAUUUGAAAAAGCUUGUUACUAUUUGCUUACCGGCGGAUCUCAUCUAAUUGCGGACUGUUCUGAGUUUGGCUGCGUAUUUGUAAUAGGCAAGAUUGACGGUAGUGUGACGAUCUUACGUUUACAACGUGAAAUUCAUAAAUACAUUCUACAUCCUGUCCAAGAUCUCGAAGGGCUGGGAGAUGUUCGAUUAUCAAUUUGGCAUGGAAUGAAUCAAAUGUUUCUUGGCAUAGCUUCGAAUGCCAAUGUAUCAAUAUACCAGUGGCUAGGCGAGCAUUUUGAUUCAAUUCAAGUUUUAAAUUAUGGUACUGGGAAACUAACACCAUUUAAGAUUGGAGGAUCAAUGUAUUUAACCAUAACUGGAACUCAGACUACUACAGUAUUGAAAUUUAUCUUACAAUCAAACGUGUUUGUUUUGACACAACGACUACCACCGGCAAAUGAUGCUGAAAGUUUUUACAUGGAAAAAGGGCAUCAGAGAGAACACUACUUAGCUCUGUCAAAUCAGGACUCUACCAUCAUGUAUAAAUUCGUUCACGACCACUUUGUGCCUUUUCAAAAUAUUGAAAAUGCUGAUUGGAUAUCAUCUAUCACAACCAAAGAAACAGUUGUAUUAUUAGCAUUAAAGAGGGGCUUGCUGAAAAUUUAUCAGUAUAAUGGUUGGAAAUUCGUUGAGCUUGGCAUAACAAUGGCAGAAAUUGAUCAAAUUUAUCCUACAUAUUUGGAUGGUGAGGUCAUAUUAAUUGUAAAACAUAAAAAUGCUAUGUGGAGCUUCAAGAAAUUAAUUUGGGUUCAGCAAAGUACGUGGGAAAUUCUCAGAGAUAAAACGAAGCUAUGGUGUCUUGAAAUUAUAGAGAAAGUAAAAACACAGCCACCAGUGCGACCAAAAUUUAAUGGAGCUGUUAAAAUCCAACACGGACACAUUGGAAAACUUCAGGCAAAAAAGGUAAAGGGCAGGGGUAUGGAACAGUUGAUAAAUUUGUCAAAUCAGUUUACGGAACUACGAUCUGGUUUGUUAGCUAAAAAACAAUUAUUUUCUCAAUUCGUGCUAAAAAAAAACCCCAAGAUCAACACACUGUAUGCCUCUAAAGUCCAUGGACAAUGCACAUUAGGGUGUAGGAUAAAUCGUCUGAGUACUGCCGUAAAAAGUGAGCUACUAAAAAACUUAGCAAAACCAAAUGUCAUUGAUCAAGUUUUGGUAUUUGAGAACGUAAAAGCCCAGUUAACUGGUACCUUGCCAUGUCCAAAGUCUGCAGUUCUUCUGAAAAGUGUUACGGUCAGUAACCGGAUAAACGGAAUAACAUUUGUAUCCCUCCAAAAAGAUUUAUUGAAAGUAUCUGGAGAUCAAGAAGUUACAGGACACCACAUUUAUAACAGUCUUUCUGUGUCCAACGUAUUGGUUCCUCUCGGUAUAGCAACGCAAUUGACUCACCAGGAAAUAAAUGCAAUUUCAAUAAAAGCUAACAAUCUAUAUUUGGUGCAAGGUGGAAUUUUAUUGCCCCUUAAUGGUCCUCCUGUCACGAUAAAUGACACAAAAACAGUGUCCAAAGUAAAAGUAACUGGCCCUGUUCACUUGAGAGGUAAAUUAAACGGCGAUGGAGUGAAAGAUUUGAAACCAGUAACUUGGAUAGAAAAACCUUUGAUACUUCGGGGUAAUUAUUCCCUACGAAAGGUCACUGUAACAAAUCAGGCAAAAGCUUCUGAUCUGUUACUGGACAGGAAGAGAUCUUUGACUCAGAUCAGGAGUGAAGCUUUACGCCUUGAUGAAAGUGUGCCAGUUCACUUGAAAUUGUCAAAACUUAGAACGACUUGGACAAACAUUACUGCAGAUAUAACUGCUGAUUGGGUUACAGCUCUAAGUGAGAAAUCAAUUAUUAACCAUGUAAAAAAUAUCACUGGCACUAAACGCACUCCAAAUGAUGUUAUUAUUACAAGUUUAUCUUACGAUGCUUUGCCUCUUCCAAAGUUUCAGAGCUCUUUUUGUGCCUUAGAGGCGACAAUCGCAAACAUCGAAACAUGGUCUGUAGAAGUUGAUGAGGCUUCAGCUAAGACUUUGAAAGCUGUACAAAUGUUUGGUGCUUCCACAUUAAGUUCAACUAUAAUGGAUACAGCUACAAUAACAACGGCCAACAAAUUAAAUCUAGCAUCGAAAAUUUUCUCAGGAACUGUUGAAGUUCACCAAGCAUUGCUUGAUGAUAUUGCUGGGAUUGAUUUUCAAAGGCUGUGGGUUGCCAUGAAUGCUUGGCGUAAUCCAGGUACUAUUAAUGGUGUCGUAAAUGCAUCAAAUUUAGAUAUCAAACAUCUGCUGGCUGCCAAAGGAUUCGUACCACCUUCCAUAACCAAUGCGAAAAAUUUCAUUUCGAAAGGAAACAUAUAUUUUGAAACCUUGAAUCAGGAAAAUAUUUCUGCUUUGGCACAGAAUAUUGUUAAGUUGGAUGAAACUGCGUCUCUAACUAACAUUGCAUUUGCUGGUGGAUUGGUAGCACGUACGUUCAAGACUUUGGUAGCUCCCAUCGAUCUUUCAGGAACUCGUAACAUGGGCACAAAAAUAAUUGCAGGAAGCCUGAAAUCUGCCAAUUUAAUAUUACCCUAUUCCUUCACUUAUUCAUCUAGCAACACACCUACCAAUUUAAUUGUAAAAGGUUCAAUCACGUUUGCAGUAGAACCAAAAAUUCAAAGUAUCAACGGUCUCACCUUGCAAAAACUUUUCGAUAAUAUUUGGUUCAUCAAUAAGCCCUGCAUUCUCUCCAAUGCACUAUUUGAUCUUAGGCAUGCCGUAUUCAAAGGACCCGUACAAAUAUUAGGAUGGCUGAAUACACAAAAUUAUGGACCCUGGAAUCAAAUCUCGAAGUGGUUGCUUAGUCGAACCAGAUCGCAGGAAAUAUAUGAAAAUGUUUAUUUAAAAAAGGCAAAAAUUCCGAAUAUUAUAUGUACAAAAGGUUUGUCACUCUUGGCAUCCGCAUCUUUUUUAGCUGAACUAGUCGAACACUCGUUAAAAAGAGACAGUAGUCAAACUGUCUCAAAUGCUAUGCACUUCCAAACAUUAAUAGUGUUAGAUGAUUUGAACACUCAAAGUAAAAUUAAUGGGAAAGAUUUGUCUAUUGACAUUGUACGUUUCGACGUCAAAGAAAACAUAAUUACUGGGAAGAAAACUGUGUUGUCAUUGCAUGCUGAAAACUUUAAUGGUGGUUUCAAUUUUGGUAGCUGGCAGACAAAUACCUUGAGUGUAUUAAAUAAUGGAAAACCAAUCAUUGUUAGGGGAUUGAAAACCUUUGCAAAUAUUACGCUACUGAAGCCUUUGCGAGUGGAUGGAAUGGUGAAUGGGUGCGCAAUGAAGAAGUAUCUUCUGAAAUCAAUAUCCCAGCAAGUAGGUGGGACAAAAAAAAUUCAUGGGACCAUAAUUACGUCAAAAAUUGUCAUUGAUGGACAAAUAAAUGACAUCGAUCUGUCAUCUCUGGUGAAGCAUCAGUUGAAGAAGAAUAAACAAGUUCAAAUAAUAAAGUCUCAGAUCAUAAUGAGGGGUGAUGUCACGAUAAUGGGAGAUUCUGCAGUAAAUAGACUGUUCCAUGGGGUGGAACUUAAAAACUUGGAUCGACUUACUUUGGAUUUAGAAUUAGUCAGUGCCAGAAUGGUGGAACUUAGUUACGUCGCAAAACAAAUUCAUAUAUCAUUGUCACGACGAGCUUGGUAUUGUGAUAAAUUAGAACUGAUUAAAGUAAACUCUACGGCUUUGACCUCAGGCUCAUCCAUAUUUCAUGCGGUACUUUUUGAAGGUCUAGGAAACUGUUUAUUCAAAAUUGGCGUACUAACAUGUGAUGGAGAAACAGUUCAACUUCUUACCUUCCCUCCGAACUCUAGCAGAGUAUUAUUCAGCCAAGUUUUUCAAUUGGAGGGAAUUCCACUAGUUGUUGUUGCAACCUCAGAUCCUAAUGGCGGUGUAUGGAUCUAUACUUACGAGCAUGUGGAGAAGAAAUUUCGUCAAGUUGCCGGUUUCAACCUACCUGGGGCUACGCAAGCAUCUGCUAUUGUGUCAUCUGGCUCACUCUGGCUCGCUGUGCAGUUGACUUGGGAUACGAUAAUACUACGAUAUGAUACGUGGGGUCAAUUCGAAGAAUAUACCCUACCUGGUUCAGAGUUUCUUCUAAUGGAAGUGGCUCCAACAGGAGAGCCCUUAAUAUUCCAAUCCGAUGGUGUUUGGAAAUUAGGAGGACUCUCAGGGCCACGUCAAUUGAUUGCCACUCAAUUAAACGGAAAGAUUGAUUGGGGUUGAGAAUUGUACCGAAGCAAUCGAGAGAAUUAAAAAUUUGUCGGAAAAUCUUCAUCCCAGAGAUGUGCCGGCAGCUGCUAUCGCUAUCUUGACCGAAACUCACACCGCCAUGAUUUUAAGACAGCGAAGACGGUUAAAAUCUUACGCCAAGCUAGUACAGGACCGAUUCCCGACGAUUUUUACUAUUUCCGAUGUGUGUACAAUACAGCGGGUUGAUUUGAAUCAAUCGAUGUAGCGCUUCGUAAGUUUCAAUCUUCGUUUAAUUUUUACUUCUUAUAUUUGCAAUCUUUUUAUUCUUAUAAAAUACAGAUUACUGCCAUGUUUUUGUAUAAUCGUACGUGUAUAA
rnacentral:misc_RNA from 1 species